GUGCUCACUUUGGCAUCACAUAUACUAAAAUUGGAAUGAUACAGAGAGUAUUAGCAUGGCCUCUACACUAGAUGACACACAAAUUAUGAAAAGUUCGCAUUUUUU
rnacentral:snRNA from 1 species